CGUGUGAGUUUCUAACAGAAAAUUUACAUCACAUCAAUGAGAAAUUGAAAAAAGUAAAUAAAAUUAUACAUUUGUCGCUAUCGUUGUUGAGGUUACAUGAGUGAUUUAUCUGCCUUAUUUUUACAUGUUCACAAAUCAGUAUCCAGGAGAACUGUAAAUAUAUAGAGGCUCUGCAUCCUCCCCUUGAAAUGUUCUGCUCUUACGGAAACCAGGUGCUUUUUCUAAGUAAGGAAAGAGUUUAUAAAUUACCCAUCAUGUCCUCACAUCUAAUUCAAAAAAGAUAUAUAUGAUUUAUAUGAUCUUUGAAAUGUGUAUCAGAGUGAGAAC
rnacentral:lncRNA from 1 species